rnacentral:rRNA from 1 species
UGGGGAAUAUUGCACAAUGGGCGAAAGCCUGAUGCAGCAACGCCGCGUGAGUGAUGAAGGCCUUCGGGUUGUAAAGCUCUGUCUUUUGGGACGAUAAUGACGGUACCAAAGGAGGAAGCCACGGCUAACUACGUGCCAGCAGCCGCGGUAAUACGUAGGUGGCAAGCGUUGUCCGGAUUUACUGGGCGUAAAGGAUGCGUAGGCGGAUUUUUAAGUGAGAUGUGAAAACCCUAAGCUUAACUUGGGGACUGCAUUUCAUACUGGAAAUCUAGAGUGCGGGAGAGGAGAAUGGAAUUCCUAGUGUAGCGGUGAAAUGCGUAGAGAUUAGGAAGAACACCAGUGGCGAAGGCGAUUCUCUGGACCGUAACUGACGCUGAGGCAUGAAAAGCGUGGGUAGCAAACAGGAUUAGAUACCCUGGUAGUCCACGCCGUAAACGAUGAGUACUAGGUGUAGGAGGUAUCGACCCCUUCUGUGCCGCAGUUAAACACAAUAAGUACUCCGCCUGGGAAGUACGAUCGCAAGAUUAAAACUUAAAUGAAUUGACGGGGUCAUAGCUGUUUCCU